rnacentral:pre_miRNA from 14 species
UUUUACUGCUGUGAUUGAAAGACCCCCGGAGUGGGGAGACCCUCACUCAAGUCUCGGGAUGAUGCGAACCCCCAAGAACUCACGUGAGACC